GCGACCGUGUCUCGUGAACCUAACCCACGAAUAGUCCCAGCAGUACUUGGCUGCAACUGCUAUGGAACUAAUUUCGGCAUUUUUGUGGGUUCCUGGUCACCUCAGCGGGACUUAGCAGCGAAUGUUAUGGAACUGUUUUCGGCAUGCGGUGACCGUGCAGUUCCCGGGCAACUUGGUUUGCGGUUUUGAACCACUUUGAAAUCCCCCAGGAGGGCUUUUUAGAGGGAAGGUGUCUGAGACUAAAGGGAACAAACGCUACCUAUGAGCCAGCCGAAGCAACCCGUAUUGUGGCCGCAGGAGCUCCCGGAAGUUGACCAGCAAAAGCACCAAACGCCCUGGAACUGUUUCGGGCAUAGGACCAUGUGUGCAGUAGGUCAGAACUUCCACACGGUGGCGUUUCUCUACACUGCAUGGAUCUGAGCGCUAUUUGGAGAACUUGGGCGCUCAGAUCAGGACUAUUUAACGAUAUAUAAUUUGUGGGGGUUCCUAUUUGUUUAGUAUGAUUUUAUGUAUUUUGAUACUUUGUGUUUUUAUGCCGAGUAACUCUGACACAGGAAUUUGUGGACAUUUUGUGGGAGUGUUCUGGGCGUGUUUUACUGCAUCCUUGUUUUGUAUAAAAGUGGGCCAUUUGGCCAUGAUUAAAACACAUUUGUUUCUACCCUUCAUCAAGUCUAGGCUGAUGCUUGGGGAAUUGGGAGCUAUAAUCACUGCUUCACUGCGGAUUUGGGAGAACUACAGCGGAUAUAC